UCUCAUCACCCUGUGACAUACCUAUAACGUUGCCUCGGCGGGAACAGACGGCCCCGUAACACGGGCCGCCCCCGCCAGAGGACCCCCUAACUCUGUUUCUAUAAUGUUUCUUCUGAGUAAACAAGCAAAUAAAUUAAAACUUUCAACAACGGAUCUCUUGGCUCUGGCAUCGAUGAAGAACGCAGCGAAAUGCGAUAAGUAAUGUGAAUUGCAGAAUUCAGUGAAUCAUCGAAUCUUUGAACGCACAUUGCGCCCGCCAGUAUUCUGGCGGGCAUGCCUGUUCGAGCGUCAUUACAACCCUCAGGCCCCCGGGCCUGGCGUUGGGGAUCGGCGGAAGCCCCCUGCGGGCACAACGCCGUCCCCCAAAUACAGUGGCGGUCCCGCCGCAGCUUCCAUUGCGUAGUAGCUAACACCUCGCAACUGGAGAGCGGCGCGGCCACGCCGUAAAACACCCAACUUCUGAAUGUUGACCUCGAAUCAGGUAGGAAUACCCGCUGAACUUAAGCAUAUCAAUAAGCGGAGGA
rnacentral:rRNA from 1 species